UGCGUAGGCGGAUCAGGAAGUGUUUCGUGAAAACCCCCGGCUCAACCGGGGAACUGCGGGGCAAACUCCUGAUCUUGAGGGAAGUAUGGGCGGACAGAACUAUCGGUGGAGCGGUGAAAUGCGUAGAUAUCGAUAGGAAUGCCGAUGGCGAAGGCGGUCCGCUGGGCUUCUCCUGACGCUCAGGCACGAAAGCGUGGGGAAGCAAACA
rnacentral:rRNA from 1 species